rnacentral:rRNA from 1 species
GAGUUUGAUCGUGGCUCAGAUUGAACGCUGGCGGCAUGCCUUACACAUGCAAGUCGAACGGCAGCAUGAUCUAGCUUGCUAGAUUGAUGGCGAGUGGCGAACGGGUGAGUAAUACAUCGGAACGUGCCCUGUAGUGGGGGAUAACUAGUCGAAAGAUUAGCUAAUACCGCAUACGACCUGAGGGUGAAAGUGGGGGACCGCAAGGCCUCAUGCUAUAGGAGCGGCCGAUGUCUGAUUAGCUAGUUGGUGGGUAAAGGCCCACCAAGGCGACGAUCAGUAGCUGGUCUGAGAGGACGAUCAGCCACACUGGGACUGAGACACGGCCCAGACUCCUACGGGAGGCAGCAGUGGGGAAUCUUGGACAAUGGGCGAAAGCCUGAUCCAGCAAUGCCGCGUGUGU